rnacentral:rRNA from 1 species
CCAAUAGCGUAUAUUAAAGUUGUUGCAGUUAAAAAGCUCGUAGUUGAAUUUCGGGAUCAAUAUGUUGGUCGUGCCUCGGUACGUACUAGCAUAUUGGUUUCUCCUUUCUGAAGAACCAUGAUGUCAUUCAUUUGGUGUCGUGGGGAAUCAGGACUGUUACUUUGAAAAAAUUAGAGUGUUUAAAGCAGGCUCACGCUUGAAUACAUUAGCAUGGAAUAAUGAAAUAGGACGUUUGAUUCUAUUUUGUUGGUUUCUAGGAUCGACGUAAUGAUUAAUAGGGAUAGUUGGGGGCAUUAGUAUUCAAUUGUCAGAGGUGAAAUUCUUGGAUUUAUUGAAGACUAACUACUGCGAAAGCAUUUGCCAAGGAUGUUUUCAUUAAUCAAGAACGAAAGUUAGGGGAUCGAAGACGAUCAGAUACCGUCGUAGUCUUAACCAUAAACUAUGCCGACUAGGGAUCGGAUGAUGUUAAUUUUUUAAUGACUCAUUCGGCGCCUUACG